UCUCAGUUUGCACUGGCAGUCUCGUUAGAGUACCCGACAUGACUCGCUGGCAACUAACGACAGGGGUUGCGCUCGUUAUAGGACUUAACCUGACACCUCACGGCACGAGCUGACGACAACCAUGCAGCACCUUGUAAUGAGUCCGAAGAAGGGCCUGUUUCCAAGCCUGUCCCAUUACAUUUAAGCCCUGGUAAGGUUCCUCGCGUAUCAUCGAAUUAAACCACAUGCUCCACCGCUUGUGCGGGCCCCCGUCAAUUCCUUUGAGUUUCAUUCUUGCGAACGUACUCCCCAGGUGGGAUACUUAUCACUUUCGCUUAGCCACUCAGAUUGCUCCGAACAGCUAGUAUCCAUCGUUUACGGCGUGGACUAC
rnacentral:misc_RNA from 1 species